rnacentral:rRNA from 1 species
AUUGAACGCUGGCGGCGUGCUUAACACAUGCAAGUCGAUCGGUAACGCGGGGGCAACCCUGGCGACGAGAGGCGGACGGGUGAGGAACGCUUGGGAAUCUGCCUAUCAGCGGGGGACAACACGGGGAAACUCGUGCUAAUACCGCAUACGCUCUACGGAGGAAAGCCGGGGACCGCAAGGCCUGGCACUGAUAGAUGAGCCCAAGCCGGAUUAGCUAGUUGGCGGGGUAACGGCCCACCAAGGCGACGAUCCGUAGCUGGUCUGAGAGGACGAUCAGCCACACUGGGACUGAGACACGGCCCAGACUCCUACGGGAGGCAGCAGUGGGGAAUAUUGGACAAUGGGGGAAACCCUGAUCCAGCGACGCCGCGUGGGUGAAGAAGGCCUGCGGGUUGUAAAGCCCUUUCGGUGGGGACGAAAGCUCUCGACCUAACACGUCGGGAGGUUGACUUAACCUACAGAAGAAGCACCGGCUAACUCUGUGCCAGCAGCCGCAGUAAAAC